UCCUUUCCAUCCAUUCAAAUUUCAUUUUCUAUUCAAUUUCCCUGUUGAAUUUUACUCAGAGAGAUCAUAAUCAAGAGUUCUUACCUUUUUUCAAUCGAUCAAUUCUUGUUGAGAAGGUAUUGAAUGGAUUGGAAUAUAGGCCAUUUGGUGACACAUAAUAAUUUGUGAGGAAUCAGUUGCAAAGAUUACAGAGCUACACUUGAGUUUUGUUCAAUUAUGAAUGGCAGUGUUAUAGAGAAGACAUGGAUGGAGGUAAAAGAGUCCAUGAUUUCAGGUUAUCAUUAUCA